UCGUAGGCAAGAUACCGGAACUUUCCUGUUUUCAGACCACAUUAAGAACAGGUUUGCGAAAAUAUAUUGCGAUGUUACUCCUCAUAUUUGGAUGUAAACAAAAACAUCGCACCUGUGUGUACUGUAACAAAGAUCACACUUGUGUACUGUAACUUUGACCAGGAAGCAUAUGAAUGUGUACAUUUCUUAAGGAUUUUCUCCAACCCAAUCUGUCAGCAUUCUCAUUUGUAGCAUCACGCGUUGAGAAUGACAAAUGUUGUGAACAGUUUGAAAAAAAGAAGUCUAGUGAUUUACUUGGAGAAGAUGCAGUUGGGCGACAAGUCGACAAUGUCCCACCUUGGGUUCCAUAGACUGUUGAACAGUGAUGGCUGGUGAACUUCUGGUGCCUUGAUAUGUCUUCUCUGCUGCCUCCUGUCAGCCUGGGUGGCUGGGGGUGGUGCGGGGAACGACAUACGUCAGUUACGAAGAUAUUACACCAAUAAUGUUCCCCUGAAUGGCUGAGAGUGUUCAAGCACAGGUUCACUGGAAUGCUGACACGAGGGCGAAAUUUGAUUCAGAUGAAAUUACUAUGUAAACGACGCGUCAAAUUAAAGAUUGUGAGGUUGG